rnacentral:rRNA from 1 species
GACGAACGCUGGCGGCGUGCUUAACACAUGCAAGUCGAACGGAAAGGCCCUUCGGGGUACUCGAGUGGCGAACGGGUGAGUAACACGUGGUGAUCUGCCCUGCACUCUGGGAUAAGCCUGGGAAACUGGGUCUAAUACCGGAUAUGAUCAUGCGCCUCAUGGUGUGUGGUGGAAAGCUUUUGCGGUGUGGGAUGGGCCCGCGGCCUAUCAGCUUGUUGGUGGGGUAAUGGCCUACCAAGGCGACGACGGGUAGCGGCCUGAGAGGGUGACCGGCCACACUGGGACUGAGAUACGGCCCAGACUCCUACGGGAGGCAGCAGUGGGGAAUAUUGCACAAUGGGCGCAAGCCUGAUGCAGCGACGCCGGCGUGGGGGGAUGACGGCC